UUGAGGGUUUAUAGGGGGAAAUAGGGAGAUGAACCGUACUCUAAUGGGGCUGGACAAGACGUAUGGCUUAAUUUGGAAAGUUAUUUAAGUGUAAUGCUUCUGACUGAAUAGAAGGUAACCAGAUCUUUCAUAUCUCUCUCUCUUUUUACAUUUUCUUUUUGACUUUUUUGCUCUUCAAUUCUAAGUCAUAUUUUCUGUUGACAUCUCAUUAUUGAUUUAAACGGAUAUGUUUUUGGGAACAAAGAAAUCGGAAAUUGACAAAAUAUCAAUAGUCAAAGACUGUUGACAAAAAAAAUCAAGAGACUCGGGGUUUGAUUGGUUGAAGGUGUAACUUUCUAUUUUUUGCUCUAAGAUUUAGGUUUUAAAUUUUUAGUUUUGGAUUUAAUUUAUUUUGCUGUAAAAAAUUUUUUAGA
rnacentral:lncRNA from 1 species